CAGUCGUGGUCUUCUAGACUCUACCAAGAGUCUGGACGAAUUUGUUGCUUCAUCCAAAUGUGUAAAAGAUCAUAGCCGCACUUAAAAGCCGAGUACUCUACCAUUGAGUUAGCAACCCGGAUAAAAUAGGAUCUCUUAGAUACGAUCAAAAUCUAAAAAUCGAUGAAAUUAUACCACAUUGAAUUAGCAAGACAUCAAAAGAAAGAUUUUCUAAUCCAUUAAAAACACUCAAAUACAAAAAUGAACAGAUCCGGUUAAAUUUCAC
rnacentral:lncRNA from 1 species